AUUCCUUGGCCAAAAUUCAGUUGAACGCAGAAUCAAGGGAGGGAGUGCCUGAAUUUGAUUAUUCCAUUUCAAUUUUUUUAAUUUUUGAGGUAAUUUCGAGCUAUAUUUUCUGUUUAUUUAUCAUAAAAAUUCAACCUUUUCUGUUUAUUUAAAUGUGUUCAUGUAUGCGCCUUUUGAGCUAAACCCCACUUCUCAAGAACACCUCAGAUAUUUAUCCUUUACGAUUUAGCUUCUGUGUUUGUUUUUU
rnacentral:lncRNA from 1 species